CGCACGGUAAUUAUAACGAAGCGGUCGCCCAGGCCCUUCUUUUCCAGCUACCUGCCUCAAUACCGCUGUGCUAUUAAAUAAUAGAAUGACGCAUAUGAGCAAGAAGAGGGAUUGCUAUAUGGUGCUGGAAUAGCUGAUUAACCGAUAAAAAUUGCGACGUCAGGGAUGUACGCCAGCCAAAUGCUCGGAUGGCAAUCGCCCAUGGAUUGCACGCGGUAACUCCACUAUUUCCGGCGGAAAUCGUUUGAAAAAAUUUUAAAGUGUACUUGAAAACAUAAAUAAAAUAUCCUCCAAGUUUAAA